rnacentral:rRNA from 1 species
AGCGUACACGGUGGAUGCCCUGGCAGUCAGAGGCGAUGAAGGGCGUGCUAAUCUGCGAUAAGCGCCGGUAAGGUGAUAUGAACCGUUAUAACCGGCGAUACCCGAAUGGGGAAACCCAGUGUGACUCGUCACACUAUCAUUAACUGAAUCCAUAGGUUAAUGAGGCGAACCGGGGGAACUGAAACAUCUAAGUACCCCGAGGAAAAGAAAUCAACCGAGAUUCCCCCAGUAGCGGCGAGCGAACGGGGAGGAGCCCAGAGCCUGAAUCAGCAUGUGUGUUAGUGGAAGCGUCUGGAAAGGCGCGCGAUACAGGGUGACAGCCCCGUACACAAAAGCGCAUGUGCUGUGAGCUCGAUGAGUAGGGCGGGACACGUGGUAUCCUGUCUGAAUAUGGGGGGACCAUCCUCCAAGGCUAAAUACUCCUGACUGACCGAUAGUGAACCAGUACCGUGAGGGAAAGGCGAAAAGAACCCCGGCGAGGGGAGUGAAAAAGAACCUGAAACCGUGUACGUACAAGCAGUGGGAGCNNGUGACUGCGUACCUUUUGUAUAAUGGGUCAGCGACUUAUAUUCUGUAGCAAGGUUAACCGAAUAGGGGAGCCGGAGGGAAACCGAGUCUUAAUUGGGCGUUAAGUUGCAGGGUAUAGACCCGAAACCCGGUGAUCUAGCCAUGGGCAGGUUGAAGGUUGGGUAACACUAACUGGAGGACCGAACCGACUAAUGUUGAAAAAUUAGCGGAUGACCUGUGGCUGGGGGUGAAAGGCCAAUCAAACCGGGAGAUAGCUGGUUCUCCCCGAAAGCUAUUUAGGUAGCGCCUCGUGAAUUCAUCUCCGGGGGUAGAGCACUGUUUCGGCUAGGGGGCCAUCCCGGCUUACCAACCCGAUGCAAACUGCGAAUACCGGAGAAUGUUAUCACGGGAGACACACGGCGGGUGCUAACGUCCGUCGUGAAGAGGGAAACAACCCAGACCGCCAGCUAAGGUCCCAAAGUCAUGGUUAAGUGGGAAACGAUGUGGGAAGGCCCAGACAGCCAGGAUGUUGGCUUAGAAGCAGCCAUCAUUUAAAGAAAGCGUAAUAGCUCACUGGUCGAGUCGGCCUGCGCGGAAGAUGUAACGGGGCUAAACCAUGCACCGAAGCUGCGGCAGCGAACGUAUCACUUAAAGCGAUUCAGCGGGUUACGAUUGACGGAGCGAAGCGACGUCAAAGCGUAUACAAAGUCGAGUCGGUUUAAGGAUACGUUCGUUGGGUAGGGGAGCGUUCUGUAAGCCUGCGAAGGUGGCCUGUGAGGGUUGCUGGAGGUAUCAGAAGUGCGAAUGCUGACAUAAGUAACGAUAAAGCGGGUGAAAAGCCCGCUCGCCGGAAGACCAAGGGUUCCUGUCCAACGUUAAUCGGGGCAGGGUGAGUCGACCCCUAAGGCGAGGCCGAAAGGCGUAGUCGAUGGGAAACGGGUUAAUAUUCCCGUACUUGGUGUUACUGCGAAGGGGGGACGGAGAAGGCUAUGUUGGCCGGGCGACGGUUGUCCCGGUUUAAGCGUGUAGGUGUGUGUUCCAGGUAAAUCCGGUUCACUUUAACACUGAGGCGUGAUGACGAGGCACUACGGUGCUGAAGCAACAAAUGCCCUGCUUCCAGGAAAAGCCUCUAAGCAUCAGGUAACAUCAAAUCGUACCCCAAACCGACACAGGUGGUCAGGUAGAGAAUACCAAGGCGCUUGAGAGAACUCGGGUGAAGGAACUAGGCAAAAUGGUGCCGUAACUUCGGGAGAAGGCACGCUGACACGUAGGUGAAGUGAUUUACUCAUGGAGCUGAAGUCAGUCGAAGAUACCAGCUGGCUGCAACUGUUUAUUAAAAACACAGCACUGUGCAAACACGAAAGUGGACGUAUACGGUGUGACGCCUGCCCGGUGCCGGAAGGUUAAUUGAUGGGGUCAGCGCAAGCGAAGCUCCUGAUCGAAGCCCCGGUAAACGGCGGCCGUAACUAUAACGGUCCUAAGGUAGCGAAAUUCCUUGUCGGGUAAGUUCCGACCUGCACGAAUGGCGUAAUGAUGGCCAGGCUGUCUCCACCCGAGACUCAGUGAAAUUGAACUCGCUGUGAAGAUGCAGUGUACCCGCGGCAAGACGGAAAGACCCCGUGAACCUUUACUAUAGCUUGACACUGAACAUUGAGCCUUGAUGUGUAGGAUAGGUGGGAGGCUUUGAAGCGUGGACGCCAGUCUGCGUGGAGCCGACCUUGAAAUACCACCCUUUAAUGUUUGAUGUUCUAACGUGGACCCGUAAUCCGGGUUGCGGACAGUGUCUGGUGGGUAGUUUGACUGGGGCGGUCUCCUCCUAAAGAGUAACGGAGGAGCACGAAGGUUGGCUAAUCCUGGUCGGACAUCAGGAGGUUAGUGCAAUGGCAUAAGCCAGCUUGACUGCGAGCGUGACGGCGCGAGCAGGUGCGAAAGCAGGUCAUAGUGAUCCGGUGGUUCUGAAUGGAAGGGCCAUCGCUCAACGGAUAAAAGGUACUCCGGGGAUAACAGGCUGAUACCGCCCAAGAGUUCAUAUCGACGGCGGUGUUUGGCACCUCGAUGUCGGCUCAUCACAUCCUGGGGCUGAAGUAGGUCCCAAGGGUAUGGCUGUUCGCCAUUUAAAGUGGUACGCGAGCUGGGUUUAGAACGUCGUGAGACAGUUCGGUCCCUAUCUGCCGUGGGCGCUGGAGAACUGAGGGGGGCUGCUCCUAGUACGAGAGGACCGGAGUGGACGCAUCACUGGUGUUCGGGUUGUCAUGCCAAUGGCACUGCCCGGUAGCUAAAUGCGGAAGAGAUAAGUGCUGAAAGCAUCUAAGCACGAAACUUGCCCCGAGAUGAGUUCU